rnacentral:rRNA from 1 species
GAUGAACGCUGGCGGCGUGCUUAACACAUGCAAGUCGAACGGAAAGGCUCCUGCUUGCAGGGGUACUCGAGUGGCGAACGGGUGAGUAACACGUGGGUGAUCUGCCCAGCACUUCGGGAUAAGCCUGGGAAACUGGGUCUAAUACCGGAUAGGACGAUGGUUUGGAUGCCAUUGUGGAAAGUUUUUUCGGUGUGGGAUGAGCUCGCGGCCUAUCAGCUUGUUGGUGGGGUAAUGGCCUACCAAGGCGUCGACGGGUAGCCGGCCUGAGGGGGUGUACGGCCACAUUGGGACUGAGAUACGGCCCAGACUCCUACGGGAGGCAGCAGUGGGGAAUAUUGCACAAUGGGCGCAAGCCUGAUGCAGCGACGCCGCGUGGGGGAUGACGGCCUUCGGGUUGUAAACUCCUUUCGCUAGGGACGAAGCGCAAGUGACGGUACCUGGAGAAGAAGCACCGGCUAACUACGUG